CAUAAAAUGCUUGGCUAUAUAUUUUCAGGCAUGUCUGCCCCCAUUCAGUUCCGAACUGAGGCUGCCUACCAAGAUGGUCAGACCUUUCCCCAGGAACCAGAACUGCCCAUUGCAGAAAUUGUGCCUUUAGUGUCCGCUCCCAGCUUGAAGGACGUUCAGCAGACAAUGCAAGAAGUCUCAGAACAAGUGGAGGGCCGUGGAGCAGAAGAAGUGUUAAAAGAACUUCUUGAGAGGGUGGUAGAGGCAGCUCUGGGUCAGGUGGAAGCAGCUAUUCAAGCAAAAGAUAUAACUGUGGAAAAGGAAGGGGUAGAAGAAGAUGCUCAGGGAGAGAGUGAAGCUGAGGAAGAAUCUGAAACAUUGAAACCAUUCCAAGAGGGGACAAAUAUGACUCUUGAGAUAGGAGAUAAUGGUUUUGAGAAGAGUGAGGUAGAAGCAAGGGUGGAUACAUUUAUAAAUGUAGCUGGAGGGGGUAAAGAAGUUGUCAAGGAAGAAGGGGAAAAAGUAGCUGGAUCUGUUGAAGAGACGACAGACAGAGCAGCAGUGAGUUUGGAGGUUACUGGUGAGUCAUUAUUGGAAACUAUAUUAACUCAAGAGGAUGUGGAUGGAGAGGAGACAGAAGGGGAUUUAGAGGCAGGGAAGAAGGACAGCAAGGAGCAGGUUGUGUUGAUAGUUCUAAAGAAUGCCACUGAAAGAGAAACACAGGAUGGAGAGGAAACACCAGCUACUGUGGAGGUGGCAGUGGGCGUACAGCCAGAGCAGGAAAAAGAGGAAGAAUCUAAAGCUGGCCUUGGAGUGGCUGAUGAAGAACAGAUAGAGAAUAGCAGGAGAAAGGAAGCAGCUCUGCUUGUGAUAAGUCAAACAGACCACACAGAUGGAGAGAAAGCAUUACCUCAUCCUAAUGAUCAUGUAAUACAAAUAAAACCCGUCUUUGGAGAACCGAUAAAAGAGGAGAGAGCGGCCAGGAGAGAGGAGAACAUGGAUGGACUAGAAAAACCUGAUGACAAUGGCUUAGUGGAGAUAGAGAAGACAGAAAAGGCAGAAGCAGAAGCUACAGAUGUAAGGACAGUAACAAUAGAGGCAAAAUAUAGUGAGGUUAUAAUCAAGGAAGGAUCAGUGGCACUGGUGGUUGACGGAGGUGACAAUGCUGGAGAGGAGGAGCAAAUUGCUUUGGAGGAUUCAGAGGAUCAAGGUGAGAUAUGUGUAGCUGCCAUGAAGAAAUUUGUAAAAGUGGAAUCAAAGUCCAACAAGAAAUCUAAAAUCUUUAGACAUGUUUAAAACUGACCAAAGGUGUUUACUUUAAUUUGUAUUGCAUUUUUGCAUUGAUAUCUAGUAUAUUCAUAAUGUAAACAUGAAAGCCAUUUUUCAUUUUUCCUUCCACUUUGUAAUUAUGAGCUACUUUUUUUACACCAUCACAUAAAAGCUUGGGUAUGACCACUUUUACAAGACACUGUAGUUCCAUCCUAUUAGCAAAAUGUUUGCCUUUUGGCGUAAUGUUUUGUGUGUCAUAUUACACAUCUCUCGUUUAGCAGCACUGGUGAUCCCUGGUCCACAAUCUGAAGAGAGUAAUAAAGACUUCACAGAAAAGAGACCUGAAAACCAGCCCUCUACCCCAAACCCAUCAUUUGGUGCUGGUACAACUGAAGAUAAUACUCUCAUUGAAGUGAAAUCUAACCAUCAGAGCAGGACAAUCACCUCAAAUCCUGGAUUUUUGCCACACAACCAUGGCGGGAUCCAACCCACACUAGAUAAGUUUGAGAACAAUGUUUUUGCUGAAUAUCAUCAGGAAAAAGGAGAGAAAAAAAGUGGAAUCAGGGACGCAGUGGAAGUUACACCUGGAAAAACAGACAAGAUUGAGCAAGGCCUUGAGGCAUGGGAGACUGGGGCUAUUUUUACUGCAGUCUUCUUGGUUUUGGAGACUGUCGUCAUCAUUAUCUACGUCCUCAAAUGUCGGAAUAAGAAAAGCACACCAGCCGUGCAGCGGGCUUGUGAGGAAGCGUGUGUUGAACCAGAGACAGAGAUGGGAGGCGACUGCAGUGACGACACUCUGACAGAAGACAACGAAAACUCUCAAGAGAUAAUCAGACUCGACCCAUCUGAUGCGGCUUCAGCCUUGGCCAUAGAAAGGGAAAAGCAAAAAGAUGAAGAUGUAGUAGCCAUGUCAAACCGCUCACCAAGCUCCACAGAGAUGCUGCCCAAUCCAGGACCAGGAUCAGACUCUUUACAAGACAUCAGGACUUCCAUAUAAGACACCCAUCUCUUUUCUUUUGCUCUAACUGAAUAAAAACCAAAGAGCCAUUUUCUACCCAACUGCUUUCCAAACAGCGUAAAUCCAUCAUUUGGGUUCAACAAAUAAUCCAUCAUUAUAUUGAUUCCUGAUGUUGAUAACUGUAAUAUAUCUGUGUGCAUGGAAACUAAAGACAUUGUAACAAAUUUGGGUGAACAGAAAAACGAUGCUUUUAUGUGCCACAAUCUAAGUAUGUACAUGGAAGUUUGUACAUGCAAAAGAACGGUGACUGACAAAAUAUCCAGAAAAUAGGUUGAUAUCUAUAAUGUUUUGCUUUGAAUUACAAAUAAAUGUUUUUAAUACUGUAAUGUUAAAUGAUGCUACCAAAACAUAAAUGGUAUCUCACUAAGAUUAAAAAAAAUAACAUCUUCA